GAUGAACGCUGGCGGCGUGCCUAAUACAUGCAAGUCGAGCGAACGGACGAGAAGCUUGCUUGUCUGAUGUUAGCGGCGGACGGGUGAGUAACACGUGGAUAACCUACCUAUAAGACUGGGAUAACUUCGGGAAACCGGAGCUAAUACCGGAUAAUAUUUUGAACCGCAUGGUUCAAAAGUGAAAGACGGUCUUGCUGUCACUUAUAGAUGGAUCCGCGCUGCAUUAGCUAGUUGGUAAGGUAACGGCUUACCAAGGCAACGAUGCAUAGCCGACCUGAGAGGGUGAUCGGCCACACUGGAACUGAGACACGGUCCAGACUCCUACGGGAGGCAGCAGUAGGGAAUCUUCCGCAAUGGGCGAAAGCCUGACGGAGCAACGCCGCGUGAGUGAUGAAGGUCUUCGGAUCGUAAAACUCUGUUAUUAGGGAAGAACAGAUGUGUAAGUAACUGUGCACAUCUUGACGGUACCUAAUCAGAAAGCCACGGCUAACUACGUG
rnacentral:rRNA from 1 species